CCUACGGGAGGCAGCAGUGGGGAAUUUUCCGCAAUGGGCGAAAGCCUGACGGAGCAACGCCGCGUGAGGGAUGAAGGCCUCUGGGCUGUAAACCUCUUUUAUCAAGGAAGAAGAUCUGACGGUACUUGAUGAAUAAGCCACGGCUAAUUCCGUGCCAGCAGCCGCGGUAAUACGGGAGUGGCAAGCGUUAUCCGGAAUUAUUGGGCGUAAAGCGUCCGCAGGCGGUCUUGUAAGUCUGUCGUUAAAGCGUGGAGCUUAACUCCAUUUCGGCGGUGGAAACUACAAGACUAGAGUGUGGUAGGGGCAGAGGGAAUUCCCGGUGUAGCGGUGAAAUGCGUAGAUAUCGGGAAGAACACCAGUGGCGAAGGCGCUCUGCUGGGCCAUAACUGACGCUCAUGGACGAAAGCUAGGGGAGCGAAAGGGAUUAGAUACCCCUGUAGUCCUAGCCGUAAACGAUGAACACUAGGUGUCGGGGGAAUCGACCCCCUCGGUGUCGUAGCUAACGCGUUAAGUGUUCCGCCUGGGGAGUACGCNCGCAGUGUGAACUACAAUAGAAUUAGUACGGCGUGAGACGUCGCCGAACGGACGACCGACCGAGGGGAGGUAGG
rnacentral:rRNA from 1 species